rnacentral:rRNA from 1 species
UACGAGGGGGGCAAAUGUUGUUCGGAAUCACUGGGCGUAAAGGGAGCGUAGGCGGGUUUCUAAGUCAGGUGUUUAAUCCCGGGGCCCAACCCCGGACAGGCACUUGAAACUGGGAAUCUUGAAUAGUGGAGAGGUCAGUGGAAUUGGGGGUGUAGCGGUGGAAUGCGUAGAGAUCCCCAAGAACACCAGUUGCGAAGGCGGCUACCUGGACAAUUGCUGACGCUCAGGCACGAAAGCGUGGGGAGCAAAGGGAG